rnacentral:rRNA from 1 species
AGAACCUUACCAGGUCUUGACAUCCUCUGACAACCCUAGAGAUUUUCUUUCCCUUCGGGACAGAGUGACAGGUGGUGCAUGGUUGUCGUCAGCUCGUGUCGUGAGAUGGUUGGUUUAGUCCCGCAACGAGCGCAACCCUUGAUCUUUGUUGCCAGCAUUCAGUUGGGCCUUAUAAGGUGACUCCCGGGUACAAACCGGGGGAAGGGGGGGAGGACGUCAAAUCAUCAUCCCCCUUAUUCCCUGGGCUCCCCCCGUGUUCCAAUGGCAAGACAAAAGGGUUGCAAGCCCGCAAGGUUUAGCCAAUCCCAUAAAUUUGUUUUCAGUUCGGAUGGCAGUUUGAAAUUGGCCUGCGGGAAUCGGGAAUCGCUAGUAAUCCAGGUUCACCAUGCCGCGGUGAAUACGUUCCCGGGCCUUGUACACACCGCCCGUCACACCACGAGAGUUUGCAACACCCGAAGUCGGUGAGGUAACCUUUAUGAGCCAGCCGUCCG